CCUACGGGAGGCAGCAGUGAGGAAUAUUGGUCAAUGGACGAGAGUCUGAACCAGCCAAGUAGCGUGAAGGAUGACUGCCCUAUGGGUUGUAAACUUCUUUUAUAUGGGAAUAAAAUGUUCCACGUGUGGGAUUUUGUAUGUAACAUAUGAAUAAGGAUCGGCUAACUCCGGGCCAGCAGCCGCGGUAAUACGGAGGAUCCGAGCGUUAUCCGGAUUUAUUGGGUUUAAAGGGAGCGUAGGUGGAUUGUUAAGUCAGUUGUGAAAGUUUGCGGCUCAACCGUAAAAUUGCAGUUGAAACUGGCAGUCUUGAGUACAGUAGAGGUGGGCGGAAUUCGUGGUGUAGCGGUGAAAUGCUUAGAUAUCACGAAGAACUCCGAUUGCGAAGGCAGUUCACUGGACUGCAACUGACACUGAGGCUCGAAAGUGUGGGUAUCAAACAGGAUUAGAUACCCUUGUAGUC
rnacentral:rRNA from 1 species